rnacentral:hammerhead_ribozyme from 1 species
AUCUAGCUGACGAGUCUCAAAUAGGACGAUACAUGUAUCCUUGAU